CCUCUGGUGUACCGGUUGUGACGCCAGUCGCAUCGCCGGGUAGCUAUGUUCGGAAGGGAUAACCGCUGAAAGCAUCUAAGCGGGAAGCCUACCUCAAGAUAAGAUUUCCCUAGGACUUUAUGUCCUCUAAAGAGCCGUUCGAGACUAGGACGUUGAUAGGUUGGAUGUGGAAGCAUAGUGAUAUGUGAAGCUGACCAAUACUAAUUGCUCGUGAGGCUUGACUAU
rnacentral:rRNA from 1 species